AUGGAGAAAUUUAAAGGGACGACAAAAGAGUUGAAAGGGCCCGAGUAUGAUGUGACAACAGAGCCUCUUGACCACGCGUUGGUCAUGAUCUCUGGAGAAGGCAAGAAACAUGGCAAGGAAGCAAUUGCAGGAGGCAUGUUCCCUAGCUCCUCCCGUAGCUCUCUCCCUGAAUACAAAGCUCGGUUAGGUAUCUCAAAAUCUUCUACAUAUAAACGCUCGACUCCAGCUAUGGUUGAGAUGGAGCCCGACUGGCGGAGGAGAGGCGAGUGGCGGCGGAGGAGAGGGCAGAGGAGAGGUGACUGGCUGAUGAGAGGACGCAGCAGGUGGUGCAGCAGGCGGUGUUGGCACAAACUAGUCAAUGCUUUGCAAUGUUUGGGGCUUAUUGUACCCAGAAUGGUAUGCCCGCUAUGCAGAUGCCUCAAUCAGGCCAUGGAUCUAAUACUGAUGGAUCUUCACAUGCACGAGGCCCAAGCGACAACAACCUUGGUGGUUCUCCGAAUGUUUGAGAUCGAGUAUGGUUGCCACCUGGAUGCUCUUUGGACUACGACAUGGACAUGA
rnacentral:rRNA from 1 species